UUGAUCCUGGCUCACGAUGAAGUCUAGCGGUCUGCUUAACACAUGCAAGUCGAACGCAAGCUUCGGGUUGAGUGGCGGACGGGUGAGUAACGCGUGAGAAUCUGCCUUGGGGUCGGGGACAACCACUGGAAACGGGUGGCUAAUACCGGAUAAGCCUUUGGGUAAAAGAUUUAUUGCCCCAAGAGGAGCUCGCGUCUGAUUAGCUAGUUGGUGAGGUAAAAGCUCACCAAGGCAGCGAUCAGUAGCUGGUCUGAGAGGACGAUCAGCCACACUGUGACUGAGACACGGCCCAGACUCCUACGGGAGGCAGCAGUGGGGAAUUUUCCGCGGUGGGCGAAAGCCUGACGGAGCAAGACCGCGUGAGGGAGGAAGGCUCUUGGGUUGUAAACCUCUUUUCUCAGGGAAGAAGCUCUGACGGUACCUGAGGAAUCAGCCUCGGCUAACUCCGUGCCAGCAGCCGCGGUAAUACGGAGGAGGCAAGCGUUAUCCGGAAUUAUUGGGCGUAAUGCGUCCGCAGGUGGCGAUUCAAGUCUGCUGCCAAAGCACGGGGCUUAACUCCGUUAAGGCAGUGGAAACUGAAUAGCUAGAGUGCCGUAGGGGUAGAGGGAAUUCCCGGUGUAGCGGUGAAAUGCGUAGAGAUCGGGAAGAACAUCGGUGGCGAAAGCGCUCUACUGGACGGCAACUGACACUCAGGGCCGAAAGCUAAGGGAGCGAAAUGGGAUUAGAUACCCCAGUA
rnacentral:rRNA from 1 species